GUGGAGGCUGGAGGCUGCGGGCGGCGCCGGCGGGAGCGGGGCGGGGGUGGGGAGUUGGGGGUAGCGGAGCCGGAGCGGUGGGGACUGCGGUGAGGAGCCAAGCCUCGGAGGCGUGCCUGACAAUUAGAGAGCCGGGAGGCGCGCUGCCACCCUAGGGUGACAAGCCCUGGAGCUCCUGGGGCGAAACGAAGCGCCGGGUAUGGAGCGGCCCAUGCGGAGGCCGCCGUACUGUUUGCUCCAGGCUCGCCUCGUCUUUAGCAGAGCCCACCGCAGCCUCCUGAGAGCUCUCGCUGCACCAGAGCGCAUCGCUUACGACCCCUAGGACUAGGUCCCUAGGAGGGCUAAAGAGAUCUUUUCUCAGAAGGAAAAAGAAGAGUAAUUAAACAGGAGGCCACACCUGACAGUGCUGCUCAGGCCUUACUUCCAGCGGGCACCAGGAUGAGGUACAGGGGAUCAAAUUCGGGAGUUUGGAGAGAAAAGAGUUCAUUGCAUUUCUGGGAGCUUCCCAUGGAGCAAACGGGAGCACAGAUAGGAGAGUGCUGCCCUGCUGCCAACUGGCCAACCACUGCCACCACAUGAGGUGCCUGCCCCAGCUUCCCAGCCACCUGAAAAACUGAAAGAGAAAAUUUUAUCUAAAGCUGAAGAAGACCAAGAGGCAUGACUGACAACUCAUCAGUCUCUCUCCCUCUGCUGCCACUGGAGCUAAGAAAGAAGCUGAAUUUGUCAUCACUGGUAACUCACUCCGUGGGUUGCAUACUCCUGCUCCAGCCACUGGCCCCAGACCUGGGCUGCUGUCCAGUGUGUGCCCAGGAACGGGAAGGGGGGCCCGGGGGAUGGUGGUGGGGGGGAGAGGGGAGAGUGUGAGCCUUGCUGACAGAAUUCAUGUGGAAUCUCUGAGGGUUGUGGUUUGGGGCUUCAGUUUGCCACAGAGUGUGUCUGAAGAAAGAAGAGAGAAAGAGGGAGCCAACAGGAGUACAGAGGAAGGAAACAAGAAAUAGCUAAAAUAUUCUGGCUGUGACCAUUGAAAUUUCUGUUCUGGAUAUACCUUAUCACUAUUCUCUCAUAUUGUGUGUUCAUUUAAGCUGUAGACUCUCACCCCUCCAUUCCCUCUCCCCCAUACUCACAAAAGUCAGUGCCUGAAGACGUGUUUAGUUGUCGCCCUACCUCCACCAAGUGUCCAAGCCCAACUUCUCAAUGCUCAUCUGGAAAUCCAUCCAACUUGUCAUAAAGUACUGCCUAAGCAACUCUCCUCAAACAUGUUCUCUCUGAUUUUUGAGGAUGUUUUCUAUCUAUUGCCUAGAGAACUAGAGAGAACUAUUCUACAUUUCCUGACCAAGGGAAUCAGCCUCUUGCAAUUUAUAAAUAUUCAAUUAUUUAUAUACAGUUCUGAAUGUGUGAUACAUAUCAUAUGUUGAAAUAUGACUGUUUUCAAAGAUAGUGUGUUAGAAAUAGACUGGAAUAAAUAGAUUGGGAUAACUAGAUUGUAAUACAGAAAUAGAUUGGGAUAACUAGAUUGGAAUAUUGGAAAAUUGGAAUAAAAUACUUUUUGCUGUGGUUGUCU